UACGGAGGAUCCGAGCGUUAUCCGGAAUUAUUGGGUUUAAAGGGUGCGUAGGCGGCCCGUUAAGUCAGGGGUGAAAGACGGUGGCUCAACCAUCGCAGUGCCCUUGAUACUGUCGGGCUUGAAUGUACAUGAGGUAGGCGGAAUGUGGCAAGUAGCGGUGAAAUGCAUAGAUAUGCCACAGAACACCGAUUGCGAAGGCAGCUUACCAAGGUAUGAUUGACGCUGAGGCACGAAAGCGUGGGGAUCAAACAGGAUUAGAUACCCUGGUAGUCCACGCCCUAAACGAUGAACACUCGAUGUUGGCGAUAUACAGUCAGCGUCCAAGCGAAAGCGUUAAGUGUUCCACCUGGGGAGUACGGCCGCAAGGUUGAA
rnacentral:rRNA from 1 species